GACGAACGCUGGCGGCGUGCUUAACACAUGCAAGUCGAACGGAAAGGCCCUGCUUUUGUGGGGUGCUCGAGUGGCGAACGGGUGAGUAACACGUGAGUAACCUGCCCUUGACUUUGGGAUAACUUCAGGAAACUGGGGCUAAUACCGGAUAGGAGCUCCUGCUGCAAGGUGGGGGUUGGAAAGUUUCGGCGGUUGGGGAUGGACUCGCGGCCUAUCAGCUUGUUGGUGGGGUAGAGGCUUACCAAGGCUUUGACGGGUAGCCGGCCUGAGAGGGUGACCGGCCACAUUGGGACUGAGAUACGGCCCAGACUCCUACGGGAGGCAGCAGUGGGGAAUAUUGCACAAUGGGCGGAAGCCUGAUGCAGCAACGCCGCGUGCGGGAUGACGGCCUUCGGGUUGUAAACCGCUUUCGCCUGUGACGAAGCGUGAGUGACGGUAAUGGGUAAAGAAGCACCGGCUAACUACGUG
rnacentral:rRNA from 1 species